rnacentral:tRNA from 1 species
GGGGAUUUAGCUUAGUGGUUCAAGUGCCUGCCUUGCAAGCACAAGGACCCGAGUUUGAUCCCCGGUACCUCUG